rfam:Myotis brandtii contig275786, whole genome shotgun sequence.
GGUGGUUCUCAGGUGAUGCACCCUGGAAUCGGGUCCCUCCUCUCUGGUUCCAGGUGCAUCACCUGAGAACCGCA